rnacentral:rRNA from 1 species
AUUGAACGCUGGCGGCAUGCUUUACACAUGCAAGUCGAACGGUAACAGGCCUUCGGGUGCUGACGAGUGGCGAACGGGUGAGUAAUGCAUCGGAACGUACCCAGAGGUGGGGGAUAACGCAGCGAAAGCUGUGCUAAUACCGCAUGUGAUCUGAGGAUGAAAGCGGGGGACCGAGCAGCAAUGUUUGGCCUCGCGCCUUUGGAGCGGCCGAUGUGGGAUUAGCUAGUUGGUGGGGUAAAGGCCUACCAAGGCGACGGUCCGUAGCUGGUCUGAGAGGACGGCGAGCCACAGUGGGACUGAGACACGGCCUAGAGUCCGACGGAAGGCAGAGAUGGGGAAGGUUGGACGAAGGGCGGAAUCCUGAACCAGCAGUGCCGCGUGCAGGAAGAAGGCCUGCGUGUUGGAAACCGCUUUUGGCAGGAACGAAACGGUGUCCGCGAAUACCAGGCGCUAAUGACGGUACCGGCAGAAUAAGCACCGGCUAACUACGU